rnacentral:rRNA from 1 species
UACAUGGGGUGCAAACGUUGCUCGGAAUUAUUGGGCGUAAAGCGCGCGUAGGCGGUUACUUAAGUCGGAUGUGAAAGCCCUCGGCUUAACUGAGGAAGUGCAUCCGAAACUGAGUAGCUAGAGUACGAAAGAGGGUCGCGGAAUUCCCGGUGUAGAGGUGAAAUUCGUAGAUAUCGGGAGGAACACCGGUGGCGAAGGCGGCGACCUGGGUCGAGACUGACGCUGAGGCGCGAAAGCUAGGGGAGCAAACGGG